UGGUUCAUUCAAAUUUCUGCCCUAUCAACUUUCGAUGGUAGGAUAGUGGCCUACCAUGGUUUCAACGGGUAACGGGGAAUUAGGGUUCUAUUCCGGAGAGGGAGCCUGAGAAACGGCUACCACAUCCAAGGAAGGCAGCAGGCGCGCAAAUUACCCAAUCCCGACACGGGGGCAGGGGUAGUGACAAUGCAAUACUGAUUACAGGGCUCUUUUGGGUCUUGUAAUUGGAAUGAGUACAAUUUAAAUCCCUUUUUAACGAGGAACAAUUGGAGGGCAAGUCUGGGUGCC
rnacentral:rRNA from 1 species